rnacentral:lncRNA from 1 species
CCCUUCCCCAAAACACAGACACACACGCUCCACCUCAACAGACAGACGCACACCCCUCCUCCAACACACAGACAUACCUGUCGAACCUUAACAGACAGACAAACCCUCCCUCUCUUCAUACCUGUUGCACCUCAGCGGCGGUGCUCUUGAACAGCUCAAUGUAUCUCUUUCCCAGGAUGUCUUUGUGCUUCCUGAGAGCGCACUGAGCAUUCUCCUCACUGGCGAAUAGGACAAAGGCGUCGCCUGUCGGCCUUCCAUCAGGGAAACGCACAAAUAGGAUGCCAUCCUUGUCACCACUGACAGGACACGCCUCUUUAGGCCCCUCCCCUGGGAGAAGAAGGCCAGCACCUGGUCAGGUGUGGCGGUGAAGGGAAGACCUCUCAUCCUGACAAUCACCUGGUCCUCACGAGACAGGAACAACGCCACCUCACUGGAGGUACCGCCUGCUAUCUUAAGGAAGUCCUCUCCUGUUGCCUUGUACACCUGCAGCAGACAAGACAUGGCAUUAACUCCUGCUCGUUGGGCUCCAGGGCCAUGUCUCUGUGCUCUUCACUGAUGAAGCGGACCAUAGCCUCUCCGUUCCUCCGACCCUGGGCGUUCAGACACAACGCAGCGCCACCUCUGGACAACACACAGCAUUACAGCUAUUAAAACAAUUUCAAUACACUACACACCAUCAUAACAGCAACGAGUCAAACACAACAGACAACACACCACUAGACACUGAACACACAUACUUGGCAAUGUUGAGUCCUCUGAAGAAGCGAGCGAUGUCCUGGUCAGAUGACUGCCACGGCAACCCCCUCGCUCUGAUCACUGUGUUGUCACACACACGCUCC